rnacentral:misc_RNA from 1 species
AUGGAUUCUGCAGGAUUCUCUAUGAAGCUGUGGCCCCCAAGUUCGAGUACCAGGCUAAUGCUCGUGGAGAGAAUGACGAAGAACCUUUCCACCGAAUCCAUUUUUUCCCGAAAGUACGGCCUCCUGAGCAAAGAAGAAGCUAGCGAACACGCUAAACAUAUAGAGGAAACAUGUUUCACUUUCGCAAGCGAACAUUUCAAGGAGGAGCCUGAUGGUGACGGGAGCGCUGCAGUACAGCUUUACGCCAAGGAAACCAGUAAGCUCAUGCUUGAAGUUCUUAAGCGUGGAUCAAGCGGCAGACCAAAGGAUAAUGGAGAUCUUAUUGCUCGCUCGCCAGCGAAAACCUUUUUUGACAUCUCCGGUGGUAAGAGGAGCUUUAUCGAAGCUGAGGAGGCCAGGGAGCUUCUGAGUCCGCUAGCCGAGGACGGGAAUUCGUACACCAAAAUAUGCUUCAGCAAUCGAAGCUUCGGUACCGAUGCAGCCAAUGUUGCCGGCCCAAUCAUAUCUGCUCUCAAAGGACAGUUGACUCAAGUAGACCUCUCCGACUUUGUUGCCGGCAGGCCAGAGGAGGAAGCUCUUGAAGUCAUG